GAUGAACGCUGGCGGCGUGCCUAAUACAUGCAAGUCGAGCGAAGCGGGGACGGGUGAGUAACACGUGGAUAACCUCCUCUAAGACUGGGAAAACUUAGGGAAAACGGAGCUAAACCGGAUAAUUAUAGAUGGAUCCGCGCUGGAUUAGCUAUUUGGUAAGGUAACGGCUAACAAAGGCAACAAUGAAUAGCCGACCUGAGAGGGUGAUCGGCCACACUGGAACUGAGCCACGGCCCAGACUCCUACGGGAGGCAGCAGUAGGGAAUCUUCCGCAAUGGGCAAAAGCCUGCCGGAGCAACGCCGCGUGAGUGAGGAAGGUCUUCGGAUCGUAAAACUCUGUUAUUAGGGAAGCGGUACCUAAUCAGAAAGCCACGGCUAACUACGUGCCAGCAGCCGCGGUAAUAC
rnacentral:rRNA from 1 species